rnacentral:rRNA from 1 species
AGAGUUUGAUCCUGGCUCAGGAUGAACGCUAGCUACAGGCUUAACACAUGCAAGUCGAGGGGAAACGAUAGAGAAAGCUUGCUUUUUCUAGGCGUCGACCGGCGCACGGGUGAGUAACGCGUAUCCAACCUGCCCACCACUUGGGGAUAACCUUGCGAAAGUAAGACUAAUACCCAAUGAUAUCUCUAGAAGACAUCUGAAAGGGAUUAAAGAUUUAUCGGUGAUGGAUGGGGAUGCGUCUGAUUAGCUUGUUGGCGGGGUAACGGCCCACCAAGGCGACGAUCAGUAGGGGUUCUGAGAGGAAGGUCCCCCACAUUGGAACUGAGACACGGUCCAAACUCCUACGGGAGGCAGCAGUGAGGAAUAUUGGUCAAUGGGCGAGAGCCUGAACCAGCCAAGUAGCGUGCAGGAUGACGGCCCUAUGGGUUGUAAACUGCUUUUAUAAGGGAAUAAAGUGAGCCUCGUGAGGCUUUUUGCAUGUACCUUAUGAAUAAGGACCGGCUAAUUCCGUGCCAGCAGCCGCGGUAAUACGGAAGGUCCGGGCGUUAUCCGGAUUUAUUGGGUUUAAAGGGAGCGUAGGCCGGAGAUUAAGCGUGUUGUGAAAUGUAGAUGCUCAACAUCUGCACUGCAGCGCGAACUGGUUUCCUUGAGUACGCACAAAGUGGGCGGAAUUCGUGGUGUAGCGGUGAAAUGCUUAGAUAUCACGAAGAACUCCGAUUGCGAAGGCAGCUCACUGGAGCGCAACUGACGCUGAAGCUCGAAAGUGCGGGUAUCGAACAGGAUUAGAUACCCUGGUAGUCCGCACGGUAAACGAUGGAUGCCCGCUGUUGGUCUGAAUAGGUCAGCGGCCAAGCGAAAGCAUUAAGCAUCCCACCUGGGGAGUACGCCGGCAACGGUGAAACUCAAAGGAAUUGACGGGGGCCCGCACAAGCGGAGGAACAUGUGGUUUAA